rnacentral:rRNA from 1 species
UACGUAGGUCGCAAGCGUUGUCCGGAUUUACUGGGCGUAAAGAGCGCGCAGGCGGCUGGUCAAGUCCGAUGUGAAAUCUCCCGGCUCAACUGGGAAACUGCAUCGGAAACUGAUCGGCUUGAAGAUGGGAGAGGGUAGUGGAAUUCCCGGUGUAGUGGUGAAAUGCGUAGAUAUCGGGAGGAACACCAGUGGCGAAGGCGGCCCCCUGGGCCGCGCCUGACGCUGAGACGCGAAAGCGCGGGGAGCGAACGGG